rnacentral:hammerhead_ribozyme from 1 species
AUCCAGAUGACGAGUCCAGAUAAGACGAAAUGCGCGUUGUCCUGGAU